rnacentral:rRNA from 1 species
UACGAAGGACCCAAGCGUUAUCCGGAUUUAUUGGGUUUAAAGGGUGCGUAGGCGGGUUUUUAAGUCAGUGGUGAAAGCCUACAGCUUAACUGUAGAAUUGCCAUUGAUACUGAAGAUCUUGAGUAUGAUUGAGGUGGGCGGAAUGUGUCAUGUAGCGGUGAAAUGCUUAGAUAUGACACAGAACACCGAUUGCGAAGGCAGCUCACUAAGCCAUAACUGACGCUGAGGCACGAAGGCCAGGGGAGCAAACGGG